rnacentral:rRNA from 1 species
AUAAUGAUUAUAUUAAUAUACAAUUCAAAUUUAAAUUAAUAAUUAGGCAAUUAACUAGUUUUCAACUGUUUAUCAAAAACAUAGUUUAAAGACCAAAAAUUUUAGAUAAAUUCUGCUCAAUGAUAAAUUUAAAUAGCUGCAGUAAAUUAACUGUACUAAGGUAGCAUAAUAAAUUGCUUUAUAAUUAAAAGCUUGAAUGAAAGAAACAAUGGAAAACAAACUUUUUAAACUAAAAAAGUAAAAAUUAAUAUUUAAGUGAAAAAUCUUAAAUUAAAUCAAAAGACAAGAAGACCCUUUAGAACUUUACAAGCCAUCUUAUCUUCAGUAAAUUGACUUGUUAAAUUGGGGAGAUUUUUAAAUAAAUAAAUCUUUAAAUAUAAUAAAAUGGAAUAUCUCAGAUUAAAUUAUCCAUUUAUGAAUUAAAAUAAGUUACCUAAGGGAUAACAGCGCAAAGUUUUUGAGAAGUUCUUAUUCACAAAAUAAAUUGCGACCUCGAUGUUGGAUUAAGAAUAACUUAUAAAGAAAAAUUUAUAAGAAUUGGUCUGUUCGCCCAAAUAGCUCUUACAUGAUCUGAGUUCAGACCGGCGUAAGCCAGGUCAGUUUAUAUCUUU